rnacentral:rRNA from 1 species
GACGAACGCUGGCGGCGUGCUUAAUACAUGCAAGUCGAACGGACAGGCCAUGCUCUUGCUGGUUGCUCGUUAGCCGCACGCGUGAGAAACACGCGAGUAACCCGUCCUUAUCUUUCGGGUAUAUUUUGGAAACUGGGGCUCUUAUACGAUAGAAGAUCCUGAAGCACGGUGGGGAUCGGAGAGAUUCGGCGGUUGGGGCUGGUCUCGAGGCUUAUCAGCUUGAUGGGCGGGUAGUGGCUUUCCAGGGUUUCGACGGGUAGCCGGCCUGAGAGGGUUAACGGCCACAAGGGGACUGAGAGACGGCCCAGUCGCCUACGGUAGGCAGCAGGCGAGAGUAUGGCGCAAUGGGCGGAAGCCUGAUGCAGCAACGCCGCGUGCGUGAUGACGGCCUACGGGUGGUAAACCGCUGUCGCCUGUGACAAAGCGGGAGUGACGGUAAUGGGUAAAGAAGCACCGGCUAACUACGUG